rnacentral:rRNA from 1 species
UUGAAAUAUUGGUUCCCAUACAAUCACCAAAGUUAAGCAACAUCGAGUCUUGUCAGUAUCUAGAUGGGUGACCACUUGGGAAUACCAGGUGCUGUAU